rnacentral:rRNA from 1 species
GGGUCAGUAGGCUGGUCGUGCCCCCGGUAAGUACUGGUCUCACUGAUUCCUCCUUCCUGAAGAACCGUAAUGCCAUUAAUUUGGUGUUGCGGGGAAACAGGACUGUUACUUUGAAAAAAUUAGAGUGUUUAAAGCAAGCUAACGCUUGAAUACAUUAGCAUGGAAUAAUGAAAUAGGACGAUCGAUCCUAUAUUGUUGGUUUCUAGGAUUGACGUA